GAGUUUGAUCCUGGCUCANAACGAACGCUGGCGGCAGGCCUAACACAUGCAAGUCGAGCGCGCCUUUCGGGGUGAGCGGCGGACGGGUUAGUAACGCGUGGGAAUAUGCCCUUUGGUACGGAAUAGCCUCUGGAAACGGAGAGUAAUACCGUAUGAGCCCUUCGGGGGAAAGAUUUAUCGCCAAAGGAUUAGCCCGCGUUAGAUUAGGUAGUUGGUGGGGUAAUGGCCUACCAAGCCUACGAUCUAUAGCUGGUUUUAGAGGAUGAUCAGCAACACUGGGACUGAGACACGGCCCAGACUCCUACGGGAGGCAGCAGUGGGGAAUCUUGGACAAUGGGGGCAACCCUGAUCCAGCCAUGCCGCGUGAGUGAAGAAGGCCCUAGGGUCGUAAAGCUCUUUCGCCUGUGAAGAUAAUGACGGUAGCAGGUAAAGAAACCCCGGCUAACUCCGUGCCAGCAGCCGCGGUAAUACGGAGGGGGUUAGCGUUGUUCGGAAUUACUGGGCGUAAAGCGCACGUAGGCGGAUCGGAAAGUUGGGGGUGAAAUCCCGGGGCUCAACCCCGGAACUGCCUCCAAAACUAUCGGUCUAGAGUUCGAGAGAGGUGAGUGGAAUUCCGAGUGUAGAGGUGAAAUUCGUAGAUAUUCGGAGGAACACCAGUGGCGAAGGCGGCUCACUGGCUCGAUACUGACGCUGAGGUGCGAAAGUGUGGGGAGCAAACAGGAUUAGAUACCCUGGUAGUCAAUC
rnacentral:rRNA from 1 species